GCUCACAUAGCUCAGUCGGUAGAGCGUCGCCUUGGUAAGGCGGAGGUCGUCGGUUCAAUCCCGAUUGUGAGCUCCA
rnacentral:tRNA from 3 species